UACGUAGGGGGCAAGCGUUGUCCGGAUUUAUUGGGCCGUAAAGAGCGUGUAGGCGGUUUGGUAGGUCCGCUGUGAAAACUCGAGGCUCAACCUCCGAGACGCCGGUGGAAACCAUCAGACUAGAGUCCGGAAGAGGAGAGUGGAAUUCCGUGGUGUAGCGGUGAAAUGCGCAGAUAUCAGGAAGAACACCCGUGGCUAAGGCGGCUCUCUAGUACGGUACUGACGCUGAGACGCGAAAGCGUGGGGAGCGAACAGG
rnacentral:rRNA from 1 species